GCGCCUGUAGCUCAGCAGGUAGAGCACUCCCCUUUUAAGGGAUAGGUCCUGCGUU
rnacentral:tRNA from 1 species